CAUUUCACUUAAAAACAAAACAAAAAAACACAAAAUAUUCUAGAGAACCUCUAAAUCUGUAUGCUGGGAAGGAAACAGCCUCAGGAGGGGAGUCAGGGUUUGACACUAGCAUCCUGCCCAUCUGCAAGGACUCCCUGGGCUGGAUGUUCAACAAGUUGGACAUGAACUAUGACCUCCUGCUUGACCAUUCAGAGAUCAAUGCCAUCUACCUGGAUAAGUACGAGCCCUGUAUCAAGCCUCUUUUCAACUCGUGUGACUCCUUCAAGGAUGGCAAGCUUUCUAACAAUGAGUGGUGCUACUGCUUCCAGAAGCCUGGAGGUCUCCCUUGCCAGAAUGAAAUGAACAGAAUUCAGAAGCUGAGUAAGGGGAAAAGCCUGUUGGGGGCCUUCAUACCUCGGUGUAAUGAGGAGGGCUAUUACAAAGCCACACAGUGCCAUGGCAGCACGGGGCAGUGCUGGUGUGUGGACAAAUAUGGGAAUGAGUUGGCUGGCUCCAGGAAACAGGGUGCUGUGAGCUGUGAAGAGGAGCAGGAAACCUCAGGGGAUUUUGGCAGUGGUGGCUCUGUGGUCCUG
rnacentral:sRNA from 1 species